rnacentral:rRNA from 1 species
UACGUAGGGUCCGAGCGUUGUCCGGAGUUACUGGGCGUAAAGCGCGCGCAGGCGGCGGUGUUGGCCCGGCGUGAAAGCCCCCGGCUCAACCGGGGAGAGUCGUCGGGGACCGCACCGCUUGAGGGCGGUAGGGGCCGGUGGAAUGCCUGGUGUAGUGGUGAAAUGCGUAGAGAUCAGGCAGAACACCUGGGGCGAAGGCGGCCGGCUGGGCCGUAACUGACGCUGAGGAGCGAAAGCAUGGGGAGCGAACAGG